GUUUCCGUAGUUAAAUGGAUAUAACCCAGACCUCCUAAGUCUGCAUUUCGGGUUCGACUCCCGGCGGGAACA
rnacentral:tRNA from 1 species